rnacentral:lncRNA from 1 species
UCUGACCACUGGCUGCUUUCUCUCCAACUUCGACUGCCAGUCGUACCCCUCCUCAAGAAACGAACACUUCUAAAACAGAACCGUCCACUGACCACGGAUAUACCCUCUGACAUGGUAAAAAGAUAUCAAAACCGGCACAGACACAGGAUCUAGGGGUUCUGCCAUGCUCUGAGACACCUAUGGUAUCCCUUCCCCAGACCUGGACCCACCUGAUGUCCUCUAGGGGUUCUGUCAUGCUCUGAGAAGCCUACCGUAUCCCUUCCCCAGACCUGGACCCACCUGAUGUCCUCUAGGGGUUCUGUCAUGCUCUGAGAAGCCUACUGUAUCUCUUCCCCAGACCUGGACCCACCUGAUGUCUUCUAGGGGUUCUGUCAUGCUCUGAGAAGCCUACCGUAUCCCUUCCCUACCGUAUCCCUGGAUCGACUUGAUGUCCUCCAUGAUCAACCAUCCUCCAAGAUCCCACUUUUCAUUACAUUAUCUACAGCUACUGUUAAGGUCAUGUGGUUUGAUCUAAUCUGCUAUGGACCUGAGUUUAACAUAUCAUCCUGGGCACAGUGAGAUACACUGAUGCACUACAUACACUAGCACUGCAAACACUCCAAGAGCAAAGAGAACAGCUGUGCCUGGACUUUACAGUCUCCCUCUUCAAGUUCACCUUCUGAGACUGGCUGCCUGUCGAGGGAAAGUGACUGGCAGAACCACCUGUACACCCACCUCUUCUCUAUCCUACACGCCAGAACUGAGAUGUUUAAAAAUCUGACCCUACUUCUCCCAAGACUGUCCCCAUCUCAUACUAUGUACUUUACUUGUCAUUCAUACUUCUGUUUUAUCAACUAAAUUGUAUUUUAUUGUUUGUGUUGAUGUUUGCCUAUACUCAUGUAUUUCAGUCUGUAACUGCCAUGCGGGUAUAUACAAUAAAAUCAACAAGUUCAUGACACACC